CUGCUCUUCAGUUUGUUAUAUCAAGGUUUGUUGCAUCAGUCACUUCAGGAGAUUGUCAUGUACGCCAGGAAAUUAGCUUGAUUCAAAGAUAGUACAAUCAGGCAUAGCUGCUGGCGUAGCUACCUGGACUAUGCAGUUACCUAAUUGGAAUUCACAACUAGUGUCUUCGGCAGUUCCAACAAAUCAAAGAUUUUGUAUAAAGCAAACCAUUUUUCCUAUUAGCAAACAUUAACUGUGUUAGUUGCAUAAGAACAGGACAAGGCGAGUGUUCUAUUUUGGAGUUUGUUAAGCCAUCUACAAAAAAUGAAUAACCCGAUUUAGAUUAAGGAGUGUUUACUAGUUGUGUGCUCAUACAAGUACAUGGUUUAGGUGUACGUGAAUCUUUAAAUCGUUCUUUUCUAGGACAAUUUCUGAGACUGUUUUCCUUUUACCCAAAGGUUUUGAAGCUUUGGGAGCCUGCGGCCGGUUCGACGGAUGACAUCAGCAAGCGCCGGCCCGCCUCGGCACAGCUGCGGGUGGUUAUAUGGUGGGCGGAGCACACGAGUGAGCUUCGAUGUUAGGGUACGGUGGCAAGCUAAAUCCUGAGUCCAGCUAGGCUUUUUUCGUUCAGAUUUUGUUACUGUUUUCCAUUCGGGAUUUCAUGGUGAGCAAACCUAGCAUUUGCAGUUGUUUGUUUUAGAAAUUCAUGUCCUGACAUCAAAUUUCGUUUGUAAGGUAAAUCCUGCCAACAAGUCGAUGCUAUGGGGUUACUAGUUCUCUUAAUUUUUCUAUUCUAAUUUUGUAUGCAAUUUAGAUGAAUACUGUCUAUUUAAUUCAGGUAUACGUUCCACAUGCUUGUGAGGUACACAUUUUGUAGGUCCAGAUGUAAGUGUUUGCUUGAUUUGUCGCUCAAGUUUCAUGUUCAAAUGAUGCUCCUUGACUUCAAUACAAUGUUGGUAUGUAGGAUGACUAUCUAUGCAACUUAUCAUGCACAAAUUAAAAAAUGCUUGGCUCCUCUUCUGCAUGUCUCCAAGGAAUAAUUUCUGAUGUAUAAUGAGAUAAUGAUUAUUUCUUUUUAUUUCUUAUCAUGCGGCUAGUUGCUACAAAAAAUUAACACAUACAUCACCACUUAUCAUUAAAACAAAAUCAUAUCUGCCAAGUUUCUACAUUCCGUCGAAGCUUGCAGAUUUACCAUCUAUUUUGGUACAUUAUUGAAACAAAUCGUAACCAUGGAUUCUAUAUGGAAGAUCGAAAUAUCAUUUUUACAUUAGGUUCAUGUACUGUAAGGAAUCGACUUUGUUCAUCUUCAACCCAUUUUCCUAUCUUGCAAAGCUGUCCAUUAAAGUAUGGUCAAUUUAUACUCUGUGACUUAAUACAUUUGUAACACUGUCAUAGUGCCAUUGACAUGCUCUUUUUUCACCCCAUUUAAUAUUGAUUCAUCUACAUCGUUAUAUGCAUGCUUUUGCAUACAUAACUUAUCCAGUCUGCUAUUGAUCAUUUCAAUUUUUCAUCCCGGCAGUACGCCGAUAGCCUAACUAGUCUGCUAUUGAUCAUUUCCAUUUUCAUCCCGGCAGUAUGCCGAUAUCUAUAAGCGAGCCAAUAGUUCCAAAACGUUGCUUCACAAUUACUCGGCAGUAUUUGUCUAUUUGAGCAGCACAUAGCUGGCUUCGGUGGGUAGCAUGGCAUGUCCAUUCUCAAUUGAAGUUGGUCUGAAAAUAUCGAACUCUGCCAUGAAAUAGAAAAGGUAGAACUUUCCUUCAUAUCGUUGAUUUUUCUUACUCUUCCUUUUGUGAAGCUGUGUAGCAUUCUUCCUUUUACUACCUGUAAUUUCUUUGUGUGUUGCAAUACAUGCAUGGAUCUAUUAAUUUAUCACUCCUAAUUAUUUAAUGUUGAAUUCCAAGAUCUGGUGAGUGGGAUAUGUACUAACGAGUUAUUUUGCAGAUAGCCACCGUCCAUAGCUCUCAUGUGAAUGUGGCAAGGCCACAAAACAAGUUUUCCAUUGCCGGAUAUCCAACAGAUCAACUGGUGUUAUGGAUUCUUCUUAUAGAUAUUUUUUUGCCAUUUCAAACAUCAAACACCAACUACUCACAAUGGAGACAGGAAACGUGUAGCUUCUGAUGUCAACUAAGUGAGCCUGCCAAUUGUGGCAAUGGAAGGAGGUGGCAUGUCGUCUCAUUCAUGAGGCUAUUAGUUUCAUAACAGACAUUUUCCAGUUGCAUGUCUCUUGUAAAGUGUUCAGACUGUUUUUUGAGCAAAGAAAUGAAAUUUCGAAGACUUUAUCUAAUUUUACUUUUUUCUGAUUGUAAUACUAAAUCAAUUUUUCACAUUUGUUUUCCCUUCGUAAUAGUCUUGCAGUUUGUAGAACAAUCCAAAGUAUGCAGGCCUUUCAAUUUUGCUAGAGACUAGAUGUAAUUGGCCAAAGAUAC
rnacentral:lncRNA from 1 species